rnacentral:lncRNA from 1 species
UAAUCAUGAUGCUCUUCAUGAACGACGUCGUGGAUUCGGCGUGAACAAAGGCGGUUCGUGGAUUCGGAUCGUUGGCUCGUGGAUUCGAGUGGCGUCGAGGAUUCGGCGUGAUUGGAGCUUCGUGGAUUCGAAGUCGGGGCGUUCGUGGAUUCGGACGUGAGGGCGUGGACAACUCAGAGGAUUGCGCGAGAUCCAUAGGAGGUCAAGAGAGGUUGAGUCCGUGGAGUCGGUAAAUCACCUUGUAAUCUUUUCUCUUAGUGGAUUGUCUUUUCGCGUGUUGGUCCCGUGGGUUUUUCUCCAAAUUGGAGUUUUCCCACGUAAAUCUCGGUGUGCUUUUUAUUUUCCGCAUUUAUUUUUACUGCAUUGAGAUUUGUGGUUUUUGGUCGUUACACCUAUUCACCCCCCCUCUAGGUGAUAGAUACAAUCUAGAUAGAUCCUUGGGCUCCUCAAAACUUUCAAUUGGUAUCAGAGCUAUGUCAACUUCACUGAGCUGGUCAAGGAGGUACCAGAUUUUGGGCGAUUGCUGCAAAGGGUCCCUAUUGAGCCUGUUGGACGGGUUCCAGCUCGUGCUCCAUUCUGUGUGGAACUCAUUCGGGAGUUCUAUAUGAACGGGAUGGUACUUGGAGAGGAUGAGGAGACUGGGACUUAUGUUUUUGAGACAUAUGUGCGCAAACAGAAGAUUCAAGUCACUCCUUAUACUAUUGGUGAGCUCUUAGGUAUGCAUGUUGAUACUAGCGGCCUUCACUAUAUGACAGGGCAUUUUCAGUCUGCAACUCACUGGGAGACUGUUAUUCAAGCUAUAUGCAAGGAAGGUGUAAGGACGAAUCACUCAUAUGUGGAAUCUAAGGAUUUGCUACCUGAAUAUCAUCUACUGUCAUUGGUGAUGAGUUACAAUGUUCAUCCGACGAUAGGAACGAAAAGAAUUCGUUGGGAUCGUCUUGUGCUUCUGUAUCUUCUUGGACAUCCUGAGGAAGCAGGCGGAUUGAAUAUCAAUAUUCCUUUUCUUAUGUGGCAACGGAUGGUGCAUGUCAUACAGUCUCAGGUUCGCCGUGAUCUUCUUCCGUUUUCGUUGUUGAUCACGAGGAUUCUUCAGGAAAAUGGUGUUGACGUGUCAUGUGAAAAGUAUGAUUUUGGACUUGGACCUAUUGAUGCUGUAACUUGGGCAAAGUCAAGGAGCACAUUGAAGACGUUUCAGCAAACCAAAGGAGCCUCCAGAGGAGCUACUAGUUCCGCACCUCCACCUAGAGCAACACAUGAGGGGUCUUCUAGUUCAGGGGGAGUGAUUACUGUGGAAUCACUUCAUCACGAGGUGCGCUCUAUGAAGAAGAAAUUGGCUGAUCUUGCGAGAAAGGUGGAAAUGGGAAUGAAAAGAAUGAUGGAGAAAAUGGGAUGUAGGCAUGAUGAUAUCUUUCCUACUGAGCCUACCUACACUACUUAUACCAGAUCGACUUCACGACAUCCACUCAUUCCACCGUCUGGUGAUGCUCCUGCGGCUGGGGGAUCUGGAGCUGGAGCAGGAGAUGAUGAUGAUGAUGAUGACGAGGACACGGAGUGAUGUCUUCCUCGGGCUUUGUUACUUUAUUAUGCUUACCUUCUAGAACGAUGUUUUAGACUUGCUUGCUUAUCUUUCUGUAGUAUGUUUUUACUUUCGUUUAGGCCUGUAGCUCUGACUAAACUACUUUCAUGUUUUUCUAGUAUGUUUUCUCUUUCUAUUUGUUUUCUUUUGGCAAUUUUUGACAAAAAGGGGGAGAGCAUAGAUGAAGGGGGAGAGCAUGGAUGAACAGGCAUUGAACUGAAGAAGAGGAUGAUGAGUUCAAGAACAAAGGGGGAGAUGUGAACAAAGGAGGAGAAGGUAUAAGAAUUUAAUAAAAAAUUAUUUUUGAAUGAAGUGUUUUUGCAGGAAAUCAAGACUUCAAGACUCCUAGUUGUGUCUAAGUCAUAGAGUUUGUUUUAGGAGUUCUUGAUGUAGGUUUGAGUUUCAAGUUGUAUUUGGAUUACACGCGAGGAGUUCAAUGUUCUGGUGAUGCCAAUUGAACUUCAUUUUUUGUAAUUUGUAAUUUUUGAGUUAAUGAGUUGUUUUGUCACGAAAUUGCCAAAGGGGGAGAUUGUUAAGUCUUGUGUAUUGGCAAGUUUCGUGAAGUGAGUCGGAGUCUUGAAGAAUCGGUGCGUGUUGUCGAAGAUCGAAGAAUUCAAGAUUUCGAAGAAGUUGGAAAAUAACUCUCCGUGAAUCACGAUGUCCAGGUAAUGUGUUAAUUCAUGAUUAUGGUGUUUCAUACUUAGUUGUAGACAUUAGAAUCAUAAUAUCUUUGUCUAACGGAUUAGAAAGUGCAUCGGAACUUUGCAAAACUCGAAACGGCGAAAAUUUGCAAAGUGUACCGGUACAGCAUCAGAAGUGUACCGGUACAAAAGGUGUACCGGUACGACCAUCAAGGGUGUAACCGGUUCCACUGUUUCGUUAGGUUUUUCGUUCCGUCAUUGUGUAACCGGUGACAGCCUAAAGUGUACCGGUACACAGUGUAAAAUCGUGAAAUCUUUCUAAUCCGACUCCAAUUGAUUCUAAAGUCUAUAAAUAAGCUAUUGGGCUUCUCUAACAAAUAAAGCAUCAUAAGAAUACAUGUUUGAGAAACCCUAGAGGCUCGGAUUUCAUUCUAAACCUAUUUUCUACAAAUUAGCCUCUUUAGCUAGAUCAAUCGAUGAUUAUCAUUUCGCAUUCUCUAUAUGAUCGAUUUGAUCUCCGCUUCGCUUGGAGUUCUAUUCCCUGGUUUUCUACGAUACUCCUAAAGCGAAGGAUCACCAUAAUCAUGAUGCUCUUCAUGAACGACGUUCGUGGAUUCGGCGUGAACAAAGCGGUUCGUGGAUUCGGAUCGUUGGCUCGUGGAUUCGAGUGGCGUCGAGGAUUCGGCGUGAUUGGAGCUUCGUGGAUUCGAAGUCGGGGCGCGUUCUGGAUUCGGACGUGAGGGCGUGGACAACCCAGAGGAUUGCGCGAGAUCCAUAGGAGGUCAAGAGAGGUUGAGUCGUGGAGUCGGUAAAUCACCUUGUAAUCUUUUU